rnacentral:miRNA from 1 species
UGGCAGUUCCUUGGUCUUGUCC